UACGAAGGGGGCUAGCGUUACUCGGAAUCACUGGGCGUAAAGCGUGCGUAGGCGGCUCUUUGAGUCGGGGGUGAAAUCCUGGAGCUCAACUCCAGAACUGCCUUUGAUACUGAAGAUCUUGAGUUCGGGAGAGGUGAGUGGAACUGCGAGUGUAGAGGUGAAAUUCGUAGAUAUUCGCAAGAACACCAGUGGCGAAGGCGGCUCACUGGCCCGAUACUGACGCUGAGGCACGAAAGCGUGGGGAGCAAACAGG
rnacentral:rRNA from 1 species